GAUAAAAUGGCUGAGGUUAAGCGAUAAAUUGUAAAUUUAUUUACGAGGUUUUCUCUUUUAUCA
rnacentral:tRNA from 1 species